AGAGUGAACGCUGGCGGCAGGCCUAAUACAUGCAAGUCGAACGGCAGCACAGCAGAGCUUGCUCUGUGGGUGGCGAGUGGCGGACGGGUGAGGAAUACAUGGGAAUCUGCCCAGUCGUGGGGGAUAACGUAGGGAAACUUACGCUAAUACCGCAUGCGCCCUUCGGGGGAAAGCCGGGGACCUUCGGGCCUGGCGCGAUUGGAUGAGCCCAUGUCGGAUUAGCUAGUUGGCGGGGUAAAGGCCCACCAAGGCGACGAUCCGUAGCUGGUCUGAGAGGAUGAUCAGCCACACUGGAACUGAGACACGGUCCAGACUCCUACGGGAGCAGCAGUAGGGAAUAUUGGACAAUGGGACGCAAGCCUGAUCCAGCCAUGCCGCGUGUGUGAAGAAGGCCUUGGUUGUAAGCACUUCUGUACCGAAAGAAAGCGCUAGGUUAACACCCUGGUGUCCUGACCGGUACCGGAAGAAGUAAGACAACCGGCUAACGUUCCGUGCCAGACCG
rnacentral:rRNA from 1 species